UGAGAUCCAUGUUCUUUCCUUUGCUCAUUUUUCCCACUCCCUGAAAUGACAGGUAAUAUGAUGUAGGUAAGUGAUGACAAAUCUAUGGCACAGGUGCCAAAGAUGGCACUCAGAGCAUUCUCUGUGCUCAUGUGGCCAGCCUCCCUACCUCAGAGUUCUUUACUAGAAAGGCAAAGGGACUUGGGCAAAGCUGCUCCCCUUCCACUCUCCACUGUACCAUAUAACACUUUUUUACAUCUCCUACCCCUCUGCCCAGCUGCCUAAUGGGAUUACACAGGGGGGAAGGUGGGUGGCUCACAAGGGACAGAGCUGGAGGGGAGAAGAGUAGUCUUCUCCCCCCUAUACACUCUCUGAGGACAUUCCAUCACGUCACCUGUUCCUCCACCCACCAACCCAAUGAGAGUGCUUCCUCCCUCCCCUAUAAAGGAUAAAGGGGGAGAGGGUGAACCUGGAACUCAGUGGGACGGAGGGCUACAGCACACAAUUUCUAUCAGGGGUAGGCAUAGCACUCAUUCUAAGGGAUGGGAUGGCAGUGGGGCCUGGCACUUGAUUUCUAAAAGGUUCACCAUCACUGAUAUAGUAUAUACUUGUGCUAUCAUACAAUUCACAUUUCCAGGUUUGUCAUGUAAAAGAAGACCUAUCACAUUUAUGAUAAAAAAACCUCAUGAAGGAAAUAAAGUGGAAAAUGGCAUGCUUCAAUCUGCAUUUAGAUUUCAUCAGUUCCUUCUAUGGCAAUGAGGAAAGUGCAGCAAGUAGAAGUGAAAUGACUUCCCAGGGCCCCAUAGUUAAUAUAUGUCUUUGAAAUCAUGUCUUCCUGACUCCAGGAUCUGUUAUUUUUCCGCUGCACCACCAGGUACCUCAUGAAAUUGGUAAAGAAUCAUUGGUCAGUCAACAAUCACUGAUUAAAAAAAAUUUUUUCUAUGCCUGGCAAUAUCUGGGUGCAAAAGAUAUAAAGAAAGAACUGAAAUAAAUGAAACUAGUAGAAAUAAGAGAAUGUUCG
rnacentral:lncRNA from 1 species